GAUGAACGCUGGCGGCGUGCCUAAUACAUGCAAGUCGAGCGAACAGACGAGGAGCUUGCUCCUCUGACGUUAGCGGCGGACGGGUGAGUAACACGUGGAUAACCUACCUAUAAGACUGGGAUAACUUCGGGAAACCGGAGCUAAUAUCGGAUAAUAUAUUGAACCGCAUGGUUCAAUAGUGAAAGACGGUUUUGCUGUCACUUAUAGAUGGAUCCGCGCCGCAUUAGCUAGUUGGUAAGGUAACGGCUUACCAAGGCAACGAUGCGUAGCCGACCUGAGAGAGUGAUCGGCCACACUGGAACUGAGACACGGUCCAGACUCCUACGGGAGGCAGCAGUAGGGAAUCUGCCGCAAUGGGCGAAAGCCUGACGGAGCAACGCCGCGUGAGUGAUGAAGGUCUUCGGAUCGUAAAACUCUGUUAUUAGGGAAGAACAAAUGUGUAAGUAACUAUGCACGUCUUGACGGUACCUAAUCAGAAAGCCACGGCUAACUACGUG
rnacentral:rRNA from 1 species